AGGACGAACGCUGGCGGCGUGCUUAACACAUGCAAGUCACGGGGGCUCCGCAAGGAGUAACCGGCGAACGGGUGCGUAACACGUGAACAACCUGCCCUCGUGUGGGGGAUAGCCGGGCUAACGCCCGGGUAAUACCGCAUACGUUCCUCGAGAGGAGUCUCUUGGGGAGGAAAGCCCGUGGCAACACGGGCGCACGGGGAGGGUUCGCGGCCUAUCAGCUUGUUGGCGGGGUAAUGGCCCACAAGGCGACGACGGGUAGC
rnacentral:rRNA from 1 species